UACAGAGGUCGUCAAGCGUUGUUCGGAUUCAUUGGGCGUAAAGGGUGCGUAGGCGGCGCGGUAAGUCGGGUGUGAAAUCUCGGAGCUUAACUCCGAAACUGCAUUCGAUACUGCCGUGCUUGAGGACUGGAGAGGAGACUGGAAUUUACGGUGUAGCGGUGAAAUGCGUAGAUAUCGUAAGGAAGACCAGUGGCGAAGGCGGGUCUCCUGGACAGUUCCAUGACGCUGAGGCACGAAGGUCAGGGGAGCAAACGGG
rnacentral:rRNA from 1 species